GACGAACGCUGGCGGCGUGCUUAACACAUGCAAGUCGAACGGAAAGGCCCUGCUUUUGUGGGGUGCUCGAGUGGCGAACGGGUGAGUAACACGUGAGUAACCUGCCCUUGACUUUGGGAUAACUUCAGGAAACUGGGGCUAAUACCGGAUAGGAGCUCCUGCUGCAUGGUGGGGGUUGGAAAGUUUCGGCGGUUGGGGAUGGACUCGCGGCUUAUCAGCUUGUUGGUGGGGUAGUGGCUUACCAAGGCUUUGACGGGUAGCCGGGCUGAGAGGGUGACCGGCCACAUUGGGACUGAGUUCCGGCCCAGACUCCUACGGGAGGCAGCCGUGGGGAAUAUUGCACAAUGGGCGGAAGCCUGAUGCAGCAACGCCGCGUGCGGGAUGACGGCCUUCGGGUUGUAAACCGCUUUCGCCUGUGACGAAGCGUGAGUGACGGUAAUGGGUAAAGAAGCCCCGGCUAACUACGUG
rnacentral:rRNA from 1 species